AGCUUAAAUUCCAACGUGAUUACAUCGUUCAUUAAAACCCACAGCCGAUGUUUAUAUAGCAGCUGAUAUGGUUUAAAAUGCCGAAUACCAUCAUCUAACAUUCAGAUAAGUAUUUUAUUUGCCAUAAUUGUUUUUUUUUUAAAACAGUUAGAGAUUGUAUUCUACGAUUUUAAGUUCUACCUCUCAUGUACAUUGUAUUUCAUAGUUAGUGAGUUCGCUACCUUUGUUCUCUACCUUGCCUUAAUUAAAUAAAUCAGUUAGCUUUAGUAUUAUACAAUAUAAAAGUGCAUGAUUUUUUUAGUUUCCGACUGUUUAAUACAUUUGAAUAUUCUUUUACUUUUUGAAAACCCAAUUUUCUAGUUAUCUAGACACAUCAGCACGAACACGUGCCAUCAGCACGAACACGUGCUUGGUUUCUCCUAAACAGAUAGUGAUUCAACAUUGACGAUUUAUACUGUUUAUCUAUAUAUCUGGUUUAUAUUUCAAUAUGUUACGAAUUUCAAUUACUGCAGUAUCUGCCCUAUCUGAAGCAGAAUUCUGUUGUUAUUCAUUGAAUGAAUUUAGUUGGGGUUUUUUCACCGCAUAAUAUAAAUUAUAAUGAGUUUGCGUACAUUUUAUUUCUAAUACCAAUUCUUGUGUGGUGUCAAUUAUCAUCCACUUAUUCAGUAGGUGGUUAAUAUAAGAUAAAACGAACAGUAAUGGUUAUAUACAACUUUCGUGAAAAACCCUUAUCGAAUAUAGACAACUGAAUUUUCUACAGACUGGUUAUAUUUGUUUAGAAUAAGUGCCAGCUCUUUUUUUGAGAAUUGUUAUUAUACCUGUAAAUAAAAUGGGUAGCUUAAAUAUUUAAAGCUUUGACAAUCUUAACCUUUCGGAUGUUGGUCGUAUAAACCUCUGGUUAAAUGCCGAUUUAAAUAAAUUAGUACUACCACGCGGUCUUAGACCGUUAGUUGUGGGCGUGGUCUUUGAUAAUGUAUAAAGUAUGUAUAUAUUUGACAUUGUUGGGUAGAGCAGACUAUUUUUCACUUAUUAUCUUGCUGGGAGGCCAAACAUUUAUAACAUUUUUUUUUUCUACACUCACAUGUGAAUGAUAUUUUGUUGUAAAGUUGCAUUUGGUAAUAAGGGUUUAUCGCAACAUAAACUUGAUGUGCGAUCGGCCGUGUAAAGUGGACAUCUGCUCAGUACUAUAAAUUCUGAGUAUACCUAGCUUAUAAUUUAUUUCUUACACAAAAUUAAAUCUUUUCCGAUUAUACUCUUCGUUUUAUGUAUCACCUUUUUCAUUCCUGCCAGAUAUAAAUAAAGGAAUUGAUGUAGUUUCUGGACAUUAUGCUACGACUGACCGCGUAUAAUUUAUGUUAUCAUGUGUUUAACUGUUUUCCUUGUCUUUCUAUGUAGCAUAACCAAAAGGAUUGGCAGGUCAUCGGCUCGUGAGUCUAAUCCCAUCAGUCAUCAAAGGACGCACACAUGUUGUCUUUUCUUAUGAAGAAAUUGGUCAUUCAAUCAGUAAACAAUAUGGCAUAGUGGCAUGGCAUGGUUUUUGGUUGACAGUUAACAAAGAAUUUCAAUACGCAUAUGGCGUCGAGCUGUGAGCCGGACUCCAUUCCACUGUUAAACCAUGCCAUGCCAUGCUGCUUGCCCAACUAAAGAGUACCACAAUAAGGAGACCAUCCGUAAUUAACUUGGACAUAGUGUUAACUUUCAUCACUGUAUGAUGUUCAUAGCUGAGACAAAAGCUGUCUGCAGUGGACAUUUAACUUAUAAACAGUUUUAAAACUUGUAAUCUUUAACAGUGUUAAAAGGCGUAACUAAUAAUUGUGCAAAUGCGUAAAGUUAAAAAAUACUCCAAUAGAACAUUUAAAUAAUUUCAAAACAUGCGUAAAUGUAAAAUUUGUAUCAAUUUGCAAGGAUGCGAUCCGACAUCCGGUGGUAUGACAUUGACAAACGGAUGCAGGUUUCCUAUUUUCCCAAUGGGUUUUGGUUUUCCUGAGCGAGUCGACCACAGUUUGCAGAUUGAUUAAUUGCGCAUGUUAGACUUUUUAUUGGGCACACAAUUGUCCUUUGUCGAAAUUUAACCUAGAGAUAACUCAAUUGUAUCAGUUUCGAGAUGAACUUGUAUGUUAUAAGAUUUUUUCCUUUUUUUUGUGUGUGUGUUAAUUGACAUGUUAACCCCCCCCCCCCUGUUCUAAUCGUCCGUCGUGACUUUAGCUCUUUCAUUUUAUUGAACUUAAUUUUGAAAGUCAUCUAUUUCACUCGUCAAAGAUUUUACUCUAAUGCAAUUUUAUUUUUUUUGUGUGAGCACCGGUUUUGUUUUAUAAAUGA